CUUCCGGUUGCUAACGGUUCCCAAACAGCCCCCGAAAACGCUACGUGAGCUGGGCCCUGGGCCAGAGGCAGAAAACGGACGGAAGAAAAGGUCUGGCCGGUUCAUCAAGCUCUCUCUCCAGAUCCUCCAGUACCGUCACUGCCUCCUCUCCAGUCUCUGGAUGGUGUGCACGCACCCAUGCUUGCAGGUCUUUAGGAAGAAUGCUCAGGAACUGUUCUAGCACCAGCAGGUCUAAAAUCUGCUCCUUGGUGUGGCAUUCUGGCCUCAGCCACUGACGGCAGAGCUCCCACAGCUGGGAGAUGGGUCUCACUCUGUCACCCAGACUGGAGUGCAGUGAGUGGUGCGAUCAUAGCUUACUGCAGCCUGAAACUCCUGGGCUCAAGUGAUCUUCUCGCCUCAGCCUCCUGAGUAGCUGGAGCUACAGGCCUCUGACAAUAUGAUACUAAGCCAUCAUAGCCCCUGUGACCGCCACGUAUACAUCCAGAUGACCUGGAGCAACUGAAGAACCACAAAAGAUGGCAUUCCACCAUUGAGAUUUGUUCCUGCCCCACCCCAACUAAUCAAUCGACCUUGUGACAUUCCCCCUGCCCCCGACAGUGAGUCUCAUGAUCUCCCCACCCAGCACCUUGGCACCUUGUGACCCCCGCCCCUGCCCACAAGAGAUAACCACCUUUAACUGUAAUUUUCCACUACCUACCCAAAUCCUAUAAAACUGCCCCACCCCUAUCUCCCUUUGCUGACUCUCUUUUUGGACUCAGCCCACUUGCACCCAAGUGAAAUAAACAGCCUUGUUGCUCACACAAAGCCUGUUGGUGGACUCUCUUCACACAGACUCACUUGACAUUUAUAGAACACAAAAUUAAGAAUAGUGAAUAUGAAAAGGUUCACUAAUAAGAAUUUAAACAAAACAAGAAAGAUUUUUAAGAUUGCUAAAGACAAACGAUUUAUAAUAUUCAGUGUUAGGAGGUGUGUGGAUAUACAGGCAUACUUAGUUUUACAUUUUUAGAAGGUAAGACUUAUUUAGAAGGUAAGAAGUUGUCCAUACCCCUUGAUUCAACAACUUAGCUUCUUGGAAUUAUCCAUAUAGAAAUGCUUACAUAAAUGUUUGAACGUAUGUACAAAGAAGCACUAUUUAUUUAAAUUGGGAAACUUGAAUGCCUAACAUUUGGAAUUUAAAUUUUUAUAUGUCUAUUCAUUAAAAUACCACCCAGUUUUUAGAAACUAAGAGAUGCUAAAGGUAUAUUGAGUAAAAUAAAAAGUUACAAAAGA
rnacentral:lncRNA from 1 species